rnacentral:rRNA from 1 species
GAUGAACGCUGGCGGCGUGCCUAAUACAUGCAAGUCGAGCGAACGGUCGAGAAGCUUGCUUCUCUGAUGUUAGCGGCGGACGGGUGAGUAAAACGUGGAUAACCUACCUAUAAGACUGGGAUAACUUCGGGAAACCGGAGCUAAUACCGGAUAAUAUUUUGAACCGCAUGGUUCAAAAGUGAAAGACGGUCUUGCUGUCACUUAUAGAUGGAUCCGCGCUGCAUUAGCUAGUUGGUAAGGUAACGGCUUACCAAGGCAACGAUGCAUAGCCGACCUGAGAGGGUGAUCGGCCACACUGGAACUGAGACACGGUCCAGACUCCUACGGGAGGCAGCAGUAGGGAAUCUUCCGCAAAGGGCGAAAGCCUGACGGAGCAACGCCGCGUGAGUGAUGAAGGUCUUCGGAUCGUAAAACUCUGUUAUUAGGGAAGAACAUAUGUGUAAGUAACUGUGCACAUCUUGACGGUACCUAAUCAGAAAGCCACGGCUAACUACGUG